rnacentral:rRNA from 1 species
CCAAGGAGUUUAUCGUGUGCGCAAGUCAUUGGGUGUUGAAAACUCAAAGGCGCAAUGAAAGUAAAGAAUCCGCAAGGAUACGACGUGUGAUCUGAGCAAUCACGAUUGCCUGGAGCAACAUGGCCCCAUUCUGGUCGCUUGCGACGGGGUGGAGGAAGAGCGUACGCGGUGAGACCCGAAAGAUGGUGAACUAUUCCUGAGCAGGAUGAAGCCAGAGGAAACUCUGGUGGAAGUCCGAAGCGAUUCUGACGUGCAAAUCGAUCGUCUGACUUGGGUAUAGGGGCGAAAGACUAAUCGAACCAUC